UUUUUUUUUGAAUACCAGAAGGUUUUGGGCCGAAACCCGUAAUCCCUUUAGGUGACGAGAAGUUAUAUACGAUAAAAAAAGUGUCUUGCUGGUGUUAUUUUUAGAAGAUCAGGGAGGGGUUGGUCACGACAACAUUCAAAAUUUUAAUGACAAAAUAUGAGUAUGACUUGUUAAAACGGUAUACUCACAUCCGUUCAGUUCAAUUUCGCUUGCGUUCUUGUAAUAUAGUA
rnacentral:sRNA from 1 species